rnacentral:lncRNA from 1 species
AUAGAAACUUGGAUGGAGUCUUGUUACUAUAGAAGUCCUGCUAUUGGGGAAGCUCGACCAUUGAUAAAGUUCGAAGGAAGUUCGGAGUAGAGUCGAUCAUGGCUGAAAGAAGUCUAGAAGAGAUUCGGAGAAUAGUCGAUCACUGCAGAAAAUCGACUGAUAUUGAAGCCCAAAGAGCAUUUGGAGCAGCCCAGUACGUGAAUGGAGGAGCUUAUUAUCAGAGAAGUCCGGAUGGUAAUAUGGAAGCUCGGCCAGUCGAGGGAGUUCAGAAAGAUGCCACACA